UACAGAGGUCCCAAGCGUUGUUCGGAUUCACUGGGCGUAAAGGGUGCGUAGGCGGUCGGGUAAGUCUGAUGUGAAAUCUUCGAGCUCAACUCGGAAACUGCAUCGGAAACUAUUCGGCUGGAGGAUUGGAGGGGAGACUGGAAUUCUCGGUGUAGCAGUGAAAUGCGUAGAUAUCGAGAGGAACACCAGUGGCGAAGGCGAGUCUCUGGACAAUUCCUGACGCUGAGGCACGAAAGCUAGGGGAGCAAACAGG
rnacentral:rRNA from 1 species